GCUGUGGAACUCCUACGGGAUGCAGCAGCGGGGAAUAUUGGACAAUGGGCGAAAGCCUGAUCCAGCCAUGCCGCGUGUGUGAAGAAGGUCUUCGGAUUGUAAAGCACUUUAAGUUGGGAGGAAGGGCAUUAACCUAAUACGUUGGUGUCUUGACGUUACCGACAGAAUAAGCACCGGCUAACUCUGUGCCAGCAGCCGCGGUAAUACAGAGGGUGCAAGCGUUAAUCGGAAUUACUGGGCGUAAAGCGCGCGUAGGUGGUUUGUUAAGUUGAAUGUGAAAUCCCCGGGCUCAACCUGGGAACUGCAUCCAAAACUGGCAAGCUAGAGUAUGGUAGAGGGUAGUGGAAUUUCCUGUGUAGCGGUGAAAUGCGUAGAUAUAGGAAGGAACACCAGUGGCGAAGGCGACUACCUGGACUGAUACUGACACUGAGGUGCGAAAGCGUGGGGAGCAAACAGGAUUAGAUACCCUUGUAGUCCUACCACGU
rnacentral:rRNA from 1 species